UUCAGUAUGUUUAGUCGGAAUCUCCUUCCUUCUAACUUGAAACCAUUGGUUCAAGUCCUACUCUCCAGAGUAGGAGAAAACAAGCUUGCUCCAUCCUCUAUUUGACAGCCCUUCAGAUAUUUGAAGAUGGCUAUCAUAUCUCCUCUCAGUCUCCUCUUUUCCAGGCUAAACAUACCCAGCUCCUUCAA
rnacentral:sRNA from 1 species